UCAUACCUACGGGAGGCAGCAGUGGGGAAUAUUGCACAAUGGGGGAAACCCUGAUGCAGCGACGCCGCGUGAGUGAAGAAGUAUUUCGGUAUGUAGAGCUCUAUCAGCAGGGAAGAAAUAGCGACCUUUGGGUCGCCAGACGGUACCUGAUUAAGAAGCCCCGGCUAACUACGUGCCAGCAGCCGCGGUAAUACGGAGGAUGCGAGCGUUAUCCGGAUUUAUUGGGUUUAAAGGGUGCGUAGGCGGACUGUUAAGUCAGCGGUAAAAGCCCGGGGCUCAACCCCGGCGAGCCGUUGAAACUGGCU
rnacentral:rRNA from 1 species